UACGUAGGGCGCAAGCGUUGUCCGGAAUUAUUGGGCGUAAAGAGCUCGUAGGCGGCCUGUUACGUCUGCUGUGAAAUCCCGGGGCUUAACCCCGGGCGUGCAGUGGAUACGGGCAGGCUGGAGGCAGGCAGGGGAGAACGGAAUUCCCGGUGUAGCGGUGAAAUGCGCAGAUAUCGGGAGGAACACCGGUGGCGAAGGCGGUUCUCUGGGCCUGUACUGACGCUCAUGCACGAAAGCGUGGGGAGCAAACAGG
rnacentral:rRNA from 1 species